UGUAACUUGGUUUAAGUUUGUUUUCUAGAAGAUAUUAUAUAUGUAUAUUUUAAACUUAUAAUAGUGAAUUUAAUGCUUCAAAAAUAAAAAUACUGAAAUGCAAUCUUAAUAAUUACAUAAUUCAACGUUCGAAAGCUUCGUAACUGUAAAUAUGAGAGAGAAAGGUAUGUAAGAGAUAACAUACAAUUUGCAAUUCAAAAUUUCGGCACAGUAUAAAGAAACAGUAAUCAUGAAUGUUAUACACAAAUCAUAGCCAUGAAAGACACGUUGUAUCGCGAAUGUGCAUUAAUUUAAAAAAGAUUUAUUUUCCCGAGGUAGGCAGAGACUACGGAUCUCCACCUACGUCCUCCUGGCAUACCUCUCUCGCUCAUCCACAUUCAUGAAAUUCACCAUGCAUGCACAUGGUUACUUAUAACUUGUCCCUUCUAAUACGUCCUGGAUUUUGUACAGCAAUGUAUUAACUGUGCUGAGGUUCGUAAAGACAGUUACGAUGGGAGAUAUUUUACCAAAUAAAUACAAGUUUCGAUAAGUUCAGAAUUUUUUGGAGGAAAGUGAGUGCAGUUGUUAUUUAUUGACGUAUAAAAGUCAGUAAGUAUUAUGCAAACCCGGAAUUAAAGGUCACCAAUUAAAAUUUACGGAAGCUUUUCUAAAUCUAAAAGGUUUCGCUAUACGCCCUGCAACAUGAUUUGACCGUCUCAUAAUAGAGGGCGAUAAGAAAUCUCUAAUCAUGAAGUUCCUUUAUCCUUAACAAGUAUAUGACGCUGUGAGUCACGCGUGAUGAUGAGAGGCAAUUGAAAAGCUGAGUAAAUGCACUUCAAUGACUGUAUAGCCCUAUAGUGCUACUCCUUUUGGUGUCGCAAAUCUUCCGUACUUGCAAUACCCAAUCAACUCUGCGCUCAACCAAGACGCAGUUUACUCUGGAAUUUACGCAUCAUUAUUAUCUGAAGAAGGCGGUAGAGGUCACAACACGUAGCCCUGGUUUGCAAACUUUCUGUUGGUGU